AGAUUAAACGCUGGCGGCAUGCCUUACACAUGCAAGUCGAACGGCAGCACGGGAGCAAUCCUGGUGGCGAGUGGCGAACGGGUGAGUAAUACAUCGGAACGUGCCCAUUCGUGGGGGAUAACGCAGCGAAAGCUGUGCUAAUACCGCAUAAGAUCUACGGAUGAAAGCAGGGGAUCGCAAGACCUUGCGCGAAUGGAGCGGCCGAUGGCAGAUUAGGUAGUUGGUGAGGUAAAGGCUCACCAAGCCUUCGAUCUGUAGCUGGUCUGAGAGGACGACCAGCCACACUGGGACUGGAGACACGG
rnacentral:rRNA from 1 species